rnacentral:rRNA from 1 species
GGCGAACGGGUGAGUAAUAUAUCGGAACGUACCCAGAAGUGGGGGAUAACGUAGCGAAAGUUACGCUAAUACCGCAUACGAUCUACGGAUGAAAGUGGGGGACCUUCGGGCCUCAUGCUUUUGGAGCGGCCGAUAUCUGAUUAGCUAGUUGGUAGGGUAAAGGCCUACCAAGGCGACGAUCAGUAGCUGGUCUGAGAGGACGACCAGCCACACUGGGACUGAGACACGGCCCAGACUCCUACGGGAGGCAGCAGUGGGGAAUUUUGAACAAUGGGCGCAAGCCUGAUCCAGCAAUGCCGCGUGAGUGAAGAAGGCCUUCGGGUUGUAAAGCUCUUUUGUCAGGGAAGAAACGGCUCGGGAUAAUACCUUGAGCUAAUGACGGUACCUGAAGAAUAAGCACCGGCUAACUACGUGCCAGCAGCCGCGGUAAUACGUAGGGUGCAAGCGUUAAUCGGAAUUACUGGGCGUAAAGCGUGCGCAGGCGGUUUUGUAAGUCUGUCGUGAAAGCCCCGGGCUUAACCUGGGAAUUGCGAUGGAGACUGCAAGGCUUGAAUCUGGCAGAGGGGGGUAGAAUUCCACGUGUAGCAGUGAAAUGCGUAGAGAUGUGGAGGAACACCGAUGGCGAAGGCAGCCCCCUGGGUCAA